CACCAAGCUUAUUCUUAAUGACAUCUGUUCCUUCACCAAGGAAUUUUUUUUUCAAAAAGAAUGUCUUAAGAUUCACGAACAUUUUAUGUUCAUUAGGAAGGUAGAAGGAAUAUCCCUAAUAUAAUAUUUAUCAGACCAAAAUCUAAGCUAGUCGGUUUGUGAACAUUUCACAUAAGUCCGACACCCCAAGCCCUAAGGUAAGAGAGUAUCGAAUUAUUCAAGUCCAUAUCUCAUAUGGAGAUUUGGUGAUCGAUUUGCUCAGAACAUUCUUAAGCACAUAUCAAGUAGUCUCUAAAAUAUAACCUCAGACAGACCAGCAAACCCCACAAU
rnacentral:lncRNA from 1 species